UGUUAUAUUCAAAGAUUUCAAAAAUCGAUUUCAAAUAUUUUUGAAAUUUUUAUGUUAAUUGAGAGAGCUCUGCUUAGUAGUCCACGUCCCAACAAGCUCAAAUUUUCAGCUAAAAAGCAGCCAUUUUGUUGUUGCAACAUUUUUGUUUUAGCACACUUUUCGCCUCGCCAUGUUGUAAGUGUGCGAAGCCUUUGAAAUGUGUGUCUGCCGUAAGUUGGCUGAGAACUGAGGGUUGAGGGGGCUUAGGGCAGCCAGGGCGUGGCCACUUCAACUAAAAACCGAGUAAGCCUUUUGCUUGGUUGGGCUAAUGGAGCCAGGAAGUGGAACAACAAAAGCAAGAAAUAUAACAACGACUAGAAAAGCCAUUAACAAAACCCAAAAUGACGGAAAACAAGGGGGGGAAACGCAAAAAGGAAAAAGCACUAGCAGAAAAAUAAGUACAAGGCACAGGACAACAGCUGUGUUUGCAUUAAUGCGAUUUGUGGUCAAAUGCAGUCAAAUAACAGCAGCAAGAUUAAAAAGACCACGCGAAAUAACAACAAAAAUUGGUUUUGUGUUUCUUUGUUGGCGGCAGUUCGUAGACCCCUAAUGAACCACAGUCUGGACCAGAAAAAUUCAACAAGAAUGCUCUGGCCGAGAGUGAACAACUAAAGGAGACCCUGUCAUCAAAUCAGCUGCAUAUUAAAGUAAAUAUUUUCUUAAAUAACUUCUGUCUUUGUGCUCAGAUUAUUAAAUAGUGUUCAGAGCUCA